rnacentral:rRNA from 1 species
GAUGAACGCUGGCGGCGUGCCUAACACAUGCAAGUCGAACGGAGUCGUUUUGGCAAUCUCUUCGGAGAUGGAAUUCUCGACUUAGUGGCGGACGGGUGAGUAACGCGUGAGCAAUCUGCCUUUAAGAGGGGGAUAACAGUCGGAAACGGCUGCUAAUACCGCAUAAAGCAUUAAAUUCGCAUGUUUUUGAUGCCAAAGGAGCAAUCCGCUUUUAGAUGAGCUCGCGUCUGAUUAGCUAGUUGGCGGGGUAACGGCCCACCAAGGCGACGAUCAGUAGCCGGACUGAGAGGUUGAACGGCCACAUGGGGACUGAGACACGGCCCAGACUCCUACGGGAGGCAGCAGUGGGGAAUAUUGCGCAAUGGGGGAAACCCUGACGCAGCAACGCCGCGUGAUUGAAGAAGGCCUUCGGGUUGUAAAGAUCUUUAAUCAGGGACGAAACAAAUGACGGUACCUGAAGAAUAAGCUCCGGCUAACUACGUG